rnacentral:lncRNA from 1 species
GGAAAAUGCUGACAGAUGGCAGAUCUGCUGAUUCCUCUCACAACGAAGCAGGUUGCUCAGCCAGAGCUGGAAGCCAGAUAUUAAUGCAUUUUUCAUUUACGAAAGCCAAUAAGAUUUUAUGGCUGCAAGGGGUAAUGUUUCUAGCUGCUGUAAGACAGUGGACAAUUUAUUCAAAUAUUAAAUGAAAUUACUAAAGUUAAAGAAGCAGUUCAAGAAAAUCAGAAUGAAAAUAAAUCCACAGUACAACAUUUAAAGAAAGUUCAUGUAAAAAAAAUCAUUAAAGAAUAGAAUAGAGGCUUUUCAAUUACAUGCUAGAGGGAGUCUUUGUAGUAGAUACAUUUCACAUGUACAUAAAAAUAUAUGUAAAUAUAUUAAUAUGCAUCAAUAUAUAUGUAAUGAACAAUACAAUUCAUAUGUCUAUGUAAAUAUACACAUAAUAUAUACAUAUCAUAUAUUACAUAUUACAUAUAUAUUCAUAAUACAUACACUUAUGUAUAUAUACAUAUAUUAUGUAUAUAUUACAUACCCCCCCCACACACACACACCAUGCAUACAGUUUUAAUUAGAUGUAAGAAGUGUUUCUAGGUCAGGUAUCAGAUGUAAUUUUUACUUUUUUUUUAAUUUUUGUUUCUGUUUUGUUUUUAAUUCAUUUUUUUUUUCUUUUGAUGGCCACACCUGAAGCAUAUGGAAGUUCUCAGGAUAGGUGUGGAAUUAGAGCUACAGCUGCCCCAGCUAACAGGAACACCGGAUCCUUAACCUUCUGAGCGAGGCCAAGGAUCAAACCCAUGUCCUCAUGGAUCUUAGUUGGGUUCAUUAACCUCUGAGCCACGAAGGGAACUCCUAAUUUUUACAUUUUGAGUCAUAAAUACUGUGCUGGUUAUUAGCUAUGGUCUCUGGUCUAACACCAGCCUUCUGUACUCAGCUUUGUGAUCCUGGGGCUGGAACUCUGCAAACCACUUUUCUGCUUGGCCAGCUGUUUCCCAGGUAAACUCCAAUAGAAGCUUUUUAGAGGCGGACUAGGAGGCUAAAGACUCCUUCUUUCCUGGGCUUCUCCAACCCUUUCUCAGAGCAGCAGCAGCAGCAGCAGCGCCCUCCACUGACAGCAUUUGAGGUCAGCUUGCAGUUUUUCUGACACCGCAGGACCAAUCUCAAAGCAGCUCCCUUUGCACCGCAGCUCAGAGGUCAGAGUCCCAGACUCUCGGUUGCCUUCUCCAAAUUCAGAGAUGCCAGCAGGAGUUCAGCGAGCAGAAAGCCCUUCCCUGAAGUCUGCAUCACGGCAGGCUUCUAGGUUCAGUAAUUCUCACCUCUCCCAUCUGCGUGUCCAGAUGUAGGUGUCAGAGCUGCUUCUUACAAUUGCUUCUUCCAAGAUAACUUCUCUUUCUGCCCUUUCAGUUGCCAAGUUAAUAGUCCUCCACCAAACUAUUAUAUUAAAAAUAUUUCCUCUCUGUUAAAAUAAACCAAUAUAACCUCUCUCCUGCCUGGACUGUGAUCCACAUAUUAUACAGAAAACUCAGAAAUUUCAUAGCAUAUUAGUUCAAGGGAAGGUUGGAAAAGGCAGUUCUCUUAGUGUAUACAUAGAAAAUGAAACUUUUUGCAAGCUCAACGGUUAUCUGAGAUGGCCCGGCUAUUUUAUGAAUGAUGAUGGGGUGAGGGGUGGUCUGCAUGACUCCGCGAGGGCUGCACAGACACAAAUACAGACGACAGCACGUUCAGAGAAGCCGCAGGCAUUGCCGAACCUCUGACCUGCCGCUGGGUCCUCCGCUGACACCUCCGAGAGCAUUUUUACCUCGAAUUCUAUCGAAGGUAGACUUGAGGCCAAGUCAUCUUGCCGCUUAUACCUCCUCGUCUUCGCUGCUGUUACCCAUUCUAUUAUCCUCUUCAGGUCACCUAUUUUUUUUUUCCACCUUAAUUCUUCUUUCUCGAAACACUCUAUGAUUCAUUUCCCAGGAUCCAACCUCACUGUACACUGCUCGCCUUAAUCUUUUGAUUGUGACCUCUGCAAAGUUCACUACAUGAUAAACAAAAUAUAUCUUUUGUCUGUGCACAGUGUUCACUAUACCUUCUUGCCUUUAAAAAAAAGUCUCAUCCCCAAGGAUGCCCCUGCAUGCAGGUCUCUAAACGUGGCGGUCCUCAGAGUCCAACACCUUAGUCUAGAAGCUUCCCAGGGUCCCCAGUUCUAGACUAGCUCACUUCCUGUGCGCUCCCAUAUCCUUUUAUACAUAACUGUGUAGCCCACACGCCUUCAAAUUUGGGGCAGUUUUGUAUUUUCCUUGUUUCUAAAAGCUACUUCCAGACAACUCCAGGUACUCACAGUCAGGCAUUGCGGGUCAAUCCUGUCUGGUCUGCACGGCCUUCCCCUGACCCCUCAGUGACUCCUCGCGCUCUGUCUCCCACAACCCCGGCACUGUUUGUGCCACCACUCGCCCUGCUCCAAUUCACUGGUCAGUCUUUCCCGAGUCAAUACUUUCCUCCGAAAGUGUGUGAUUCUUCCUGUCACGUGGAUGCGAGCAGUUCUUCAGUGGCUCUUUAGUGUCAGCUCCAGCCUCUAAACCUUCAUCUAUCUUUCAGUCUCCAUAUCUCACCAAGUCCACCUGCAUAACUGAUGUGGAAGUCUAGUUCCAAGACCAUUUAAACUUCCGAAGUUAAAGAGUAUUUUGAUUUGCACUUCCUAAGUUAAAGGCACAGCUCCUUGACUUCGAGCAACCGCAAAUGUUCCUCCCAUUAUCAUGAAGGUCCUCCCUCCACUAUUGCACUGGUCAUGUUCAUUUAAUAGUCAGCCUUGACCCUUAGCAACACUUUGCUGUUUCCCCAACUCUGUUUCAGGCAACUUCCCCGAAUCCCUAUACACUGUUGGGUAAUAUUAUUGCAUGAUUUAGCAUUCUGUUUUAAUUGUUUUGCCAAACUGUAACUGUUUUAUGGAUAAGAGUCUUGCCCAUAUAUACAACUUCAGAAUCCAGGAGCCAGUAAUAUACUAAUAAAAGUGCAAAAAAUGAAGAAUGUUCAAAAUAAGUAUACGAAUUUGGCUAUUUCAAGUACAUAUCCAAGAAUUAGGGUAAGUGUCUUCAUAUGAAUUUAAAAAAAGCUAUGAAGACUACCCAUAUUUUUAUUUAUAUAAUUUCACAUUCAGUCACUGGCAUUAGGUAACAAAUACCCAAAGGCUGUGAAGGAAAAUACAGGUAAUUACGAAACACAUGAAGUGAUCCUCAGCCGCAUUUAUUUAUUUAAAGUCCGCGGCAGUGUUUUUUUACCUAUUGUAAUGGCAACGUUCAAAGAGUUAGAGUAAAUGUUAGAGACCAAAAGAGUUCCCACUGUGCAUCAGUGGUCAACGAAUCCGACUGGCACCCAUGAGGAUGCAGGUUUGCUCCCCGGCCUGGCUCAGCAGGUUAAGGAUCUGGCAUUGCUGUGAGUUGUGGUGUAGGUUGCAGAUGCAGCUUGGACGCGACUUUGCUGUAGCUGUGACAUUGGUGAGUGGCUACAGUUCUGAUUUGACCCCUAGCCUGGAAACCUCCAUGUGCCAUGGG